rnacentral:rRNA from 1 species
GAUGAACGCUGACAGAAUGCUUAACACAUGCAAGUCUACUUGAAUUUGGGUUUUUAACUUAGGUUUGGGUGGCGGACGGGUGAGUAACGCGUAAAGAACUUGCCUCACAGCUAGGGACAACAUUUAGAAAUGAAUGCUAAUACCUAAUAUUAUGAUAAUAGGGCAUCCUAUAAUUAUGAAAGCUAUAUGCGCUGUGAGAGAGCUUUGCGUCCCAUUAGCUAGUUGGAGAGGUAACGGCUCACCAAGGCGAUGAUGGGUAGCCGGCCUGAGGGGGUGAUCGGCCACAAGGGGACUGAGACACGGCCCCUACUCCUACGGGAGGCAGCAGUGGGGAAUAUUGGACAAUGGACCGAGAGUCUGAUCCAGCAAUUCUGUGUGCACGAUGAAGUUUUUCGGAAUGUAAAGUGCUUUCAGUUGGGAAGAAAGAAAUGACGGUACCAACAGAAGAAGUGACGGCUAAAUACGUGCCAGCAGCCGCGGUAAUACGUAUGUCACGAGCGUUAUCCGGAUUUAUUGGGCGUAAAGCGCGUCUAGGUGAUUAUAUAAGUCUGAUGUGAAAAUGCAGGGCUCAACUCUGUAUUGCGUUGGAAACUGUAUAACUAGAGUACUGGAGAGGUAAGCGGAACUACAAGUGUAGAGGUGAAAUUCGUAGAUAUUUGUAGGAAUGCCGAUGGGGAAGCCAGCUUACUGGACAGAUACUGACGCUGAAGCGCGAAAGCGUGGGUAGCAAACAGG